CACAUUGCUGGGAGUGUUAGGGCUGGGGAGCUCUGUGACGGUCACAUUGCUGGGAGUGUUAGGGCUGGGGAGCUCUGUGACGGUCACAUUGCUGGGAGUGUUAUAGCUGGGGAGCUCUGUGACAGUCACAUUGCUGGGAGUGUUAGGGCUGGGGAGCUCUGUGACGGUCACAUUGCUGGGAGUGUUAGGGCUGGGGAGCUCUGUGACGGUCACAUUGCUGGGAGUGUUAUGGCUGGGGAGCUCUGUGACAGUCACAUUGCUGGGAGUGUUAGGGCUGGGGAGCUCUGUGACAGUCACAUUGCUGGGAGUGUUAUGGCUGGGGAGCUCUGUGACGGUCACAUUGCUGGGGAGCUCUGUGACGGUCACAUUGCUGGGAGUGUUAGGGCUGGGGAGCUCUGUGACAGUCACAUUGCUGGGAGUGUUAGGGCUGGGGAGCUCUGUGACAGUCACAUUGCUGGGAGUGUUAUAGCUGGGGAGCUCUGUGACGGUCACAUUGCUGGGAGUGUUAGGGCUGGGGAGCUCUGUGACGGUCACAUUGCUGGGGAGCUCUGUGACGGUCACAUUGCUGGGAGUGUUAGGGCUGGGGAGCUCUGUGACGGUCACAUUGCUGGGAGUGUUAGGGCUGGGGAGCUCUGUGACGGUCACAUUGCUGGGAGUGUUAUAGCUGGGGAGCUCUGUGACAGUCACAUUGCUGGGAGUGUUAGGGCUGGGGAGCUCUGUGACGGUCACAUUGCUGGGAGUGUUAGGGCUGGGGAGCUCUGUGACGGUCACAUUGCUGGGGAGCUCUGUGACAGUCACAUUGCUGGGAGUGUUAUAGCUGGGGAGCUCUGUGACGGUCACAUUGCUGGGAGUGUUAUAGCUGGGGAGCUCUGUGACGGUCACAUUGCUGGGGAGCUCUGUGACAGUCACAUUGCUGGGAGUGUUAGGGCUGGGAUCUCACCAUGCUGCUGCUGCUGCUGCUGAUAGAGCGGAA